GUGAUUUAUAAGUAGGGAGAGCACAUAUACUAAAAUUGAACCAAUACAGAGAAGAUUAGAGUGGUCCCUGCACUAAAUGACAUGCAAAAGCAUUAAGAAAAAAGCAUUCUG
ensembl:snRNA Gm23025 predicted gene, 23025